rnacentral:rRNA from 1 species
UACGAAGGGGGCUAGCGUUGCUCGGAAUUACUGGGCGUAAAGGGCGCGUAGGCGGCCUUCUAAGUCGGACGUGAAAUCCCUCGGCUUAACCGAGGAACUGCGUCCGAGACUGAAAGGCUUGAAUCCGGGAGAGGGAUGUGGAAUUCCAGGUGUAGCGGUGAAAUGCGUAGAUAUCUGGAGGAACACCGGUGGCGAAGGCGGCAUCCUGGACCGGCAUUGACGCUGAGGCGCGAAAGCUAGGGGAGCAAACGGG